CCUACGGGAGGCAGCAGUGGGGAAUUUUGGACAAUGGACGCAAGUCUGAUCCAGCCAUGCCGCGUGUGGGAAGAAGGCCUUCGGGUUGUAAACCACUUUUGUCAGGGAAGAAACGGCUCGGGUUAAUACCUUGGGCUAAUGACGGUACCUGAAGAAUAAGCACCGGCUAACUACGUGCCAGCAGCCGCGGUAAUACGUAGGGUGCAAGCGUUAAUCGGAAUUACUGGGCGUAAAGCGUGCGCAGGCGGUUAUGCAAGACAGAUGUGAAAUCCCCGGGCUCAACCUGGGAACUGCAUUUGUGACUGCAUGGCUAGAGUACGGUAGAGGGGGAUGGAAUUCCGCGUGUAGCAGUGAAAUGCGUAGAUAUGCGGAGGAACACCGAUGGCGAAGGCAAUCCUCUGGACCUGUACUGACGCUCAUGCACGAAAGCGUGGGGAGCAAACAGGAUUAGAUACCCUGGUAGUCCACGCCCUAAACGAUGUCAACUGGUUGUUGGGAGGGUUUCUUCUCAGUAACGUAGCUAACGCGUGAAGUUGACCGCCUGGGGAGUACGGCCGCAAGGUUGAAGCUCAAAUGAAUUGACGG
rnacentral:rRNA from 1 species